rnacentral:lncRNA from 1 species
UCUUCCAAGGUAACUUUGUGAAGCUUGACCUGGACUUGCCUAGCCUUGGAGGGACCACAACAGGGAGGCCUAAUAGAUUAUGAACUAAUCCCUCAAAAAGGGCUACUUGCCCAGGAGGAGGAAGUGGGCAUCUCCUUCCAUGGUCCCUGCCUGGCGGGGCUGUUCAGGGAGACUGAGUUCUGAGCUCAGGACGUCUGGCAGGCUGGCUGUGACUUCCAGCCACCAUCACCAGGACACUGGUGUGGGCUGCAUGCCUCAGUGAGCCAGGAGAGGCACGGCUUCUGAGAUGGGUAGAGGCUUCCCACAAAGGCCUGGGAACCUGAUCCUGGCCAUAAGUCUGAAAGUACCACAGCCCUCAGGAGAACCAAGAGAUAGGGAGGCAGGCUGGGGAAAUGUCAUCAAUGCACACCCAGGCCUGGUGGAGCUGGUCAGCCCCAGCUGGAGUGAGACCCCAUCAAGAUGGAGCCUUUCCUGGCACCUCUGGGAGGCCGUUCUGCGUUUCCACCGUUCAUGCAUCUGAAAUACCAAGGGCCGUGUUCCUUCUGGUGCUUGUCCUUUUGAGCUUGGUGUUUCAGCCGUGUCUGUUUUGUAGACUUUGAUUUUGUCUUAAAUGAGAAAGAAAGCUGGUGAAGGUUAUUUCAAAGUUAAAUAGCUAGUCUGAGGGGCUUAUCACUGAAGCCAGUUGUGCUUAUGUGGGGUGGGAGUGUCACUGCCUACUUGAAAGUAUCCACUUGUGUGGAACAGAUUCAGGGUGGCCCCUAGCACUUGGGGCUGCAGGAGCUUCUGCACACUUUCCCUUUAACGGUAAAGAGACAAGCUUGGAGUGUUUAAGUGGUUCGUUCAAGAGCACAGUGAUAGUGGUGACAAAGGGGAUUUGAACCCAUGUCUAUGUGGCUCCAAAGUUCACUCUUUCAUCACUCCCUGCUGCGUCCUUCUUGAGGCUUUAGCAUAUUUAGUGCAUUUUGUGCCCCUAGACCUCAGAGUUGACAUUUAGCAGUGAUAAACUGCUGUGAAUCCAAAGAACGUUUAGUGUCUCUUGUGGUGAGGUCCUGAAAUGAUUAUUGUAUUAGUCAAACAGAAUGAUCAUGGAGCAUGUAUGGAGAUGUCAGAUGCAAUCCCUGUAUUGUAAGGCAAUGACAUUUAAUGAAGGAUAAGAUGAAUUCACAGAUAACUAGAACUCAGGGCCAAACGCGCACAGCCUGUAGCAACAGUGUCAUGCUGAGAUUUAAAGGAAGAAGAGGUGCCGUGGCAGAAGUCCACGUGUGACCGUCCCCUCCCUGCACGCAGCCAGGAUGAGAGGAGCAGAGCUGAGCGCCACCUCCCUGUCGGUGCCACAGCUGAGGUGAGGAGCUCUUGCCGGAUGGUGGGGUGGGGGCGGCAGGGCAGAUUGAAGUCAGGGAUUCUCUUAUACCUGAGUUUGGAAUGCCUCCUAUUCAAACAAAGCAAAAUAUCUAACAGAUGGUUGGAUAUGAGUCUCAAGGAGGAAUUCACUUUGAAAAGCACAGAAUUAACGUAUAUUGCUUGUAUGAAGAAUCUCGGCUAGAAUAACAAGGUCGGAUGGGAGGAAUGAGGACUGAUUUGAAGAAUGAUGUACUAAAUCAUUCUUUCCUUUUCCUCCUUAGCAGAUCAUGCCGCCAGCUGCUUAACACGUAAUAGUUUAAAAAUGGUUUCUUCUUACCUCUGAGUGAGGGUAAGCCCAUGCAGGGAGAUGGGUGAGUCUUUGAAAUGGAUAGAGUGUCAUCUCUGAUGAUCAGCCUUGACAGGGAGGGAUCCUAGUAAAGCUGCAAGUUCAGGCACUCAGUUCCCAGCCCUCCAGUUAUCAAGGGGGUGGGAACGCUGGGGGGCUGGAAAAUGUGGAACAGACCUGCUCCUUUUCUUUUCCCGCCAAUUACCGUAUUCAUAGAAGGUUGUGUCUGUGUAUCACACCUGUGUGUGUGCUGAUGGCGGAUGCUUGUGUAGCAUAGUGACUUGGGACAAAACAGCAUGGUAGAUGAGGCUGGAGGCGGGUGGGCUAAGUAAACAGGCAUUGCAUUGCACAUUUUGUGGGCAAAGAAGUUGAAACAUCGCAUGAUUUUAACAAACUACUUGCCACAUGAUUUCAACACACUGCAAAAUUUAGAAUCAAUAAUGCCAAAUUGGCCACAUGAUUUAUAUAAAACCAAGUGCUAUGGUUUUUAUAUUAUCUUUAGAGGAGAAACCAUUUUGAUCUGUGUCAAAUAACUCUUUUUUUUUGAGACAGAGUCUCACUCUGUCGCUUGAGCUGGAGUGCAGUGGUGCUAUCUUGGCUCACUGUAACCUCCGCCUCCUGGGUUCAAGUGAUUCUCCUGCCUCAGCCUCCUGAGUAGCUGGGAUUACAGGCACCCACCACUGCGCCCAGCUUAUUUUUUGUAUUUUUAGUAGAGGCGGGGUUUCACCAUGUUGGCCAAUCUGGUCUCGAACUCCUGACCUCAUGAUUUGCCUGCCUCAGCCUCCAAAAGUGCUGGGAUUACAGGCGUGAGCCACCACGCCCAGCCCCCAAAUAACUCUUGAACUGGAAAAUAACUCUUUAGCUAUAUACUGGCAGAAUAUUUGAACAACUCUAGCAAGAAAUGUCAGUUUAGGGAUGCCUCCUCUAAUGGGGGCUUAGAAUAUAACAUUUUGCAGGAAGUCCUUUCUGAUACAUAGCUGACUAGAUGAAGGACCAGAUUAACAAGUUCAUGAGUUGUAAAUAUAAAAGUUGUGUACCACGAUAGAAAAAGAAGUAUGGCUGCUCUGUUGAUGGCUGGUCAAAUAGCCCCCAAGAAUCCUGGGGUGACUCCAAUACUGCCACCUUUUCUCUGUGGGUGCAGUUGCCUGCGAAUGUGAGUGUGUGCACAUCUGUGCCUCAGUAUGCACACUCGAGAUGCCCGCUCUCAUAGACGGUGCAGAGCGUCACUGCAUUCCUAUCUGAUUAAUGUGGCCUUAGUGUUGUAGAUACACUGUGUCACUUUCAUCCUCCCUCCUCCCCACAAAAGAUGCCACGAGAACCUGUGAACUGUGAUAAGCAAUGAACAGAAUAACCGUUGAAGAAGCACCUCAUGAACCUCCCCAGAGAAACGGGAUGGAGGAGCACCCAGGGUGCUCUUGCCCUCUCAUCUGUGCUGCCAUUUCCUUCCAGCCUGGGUUUCUAGCUCUUUGGGGAGAUUCCCCGUUUUGUGGAAUGCUUUCUGUGUUUCCUACUUCUGGAUGCCUAAGGAGUGGCCAGUCAUACUCCUGGCUGACCGCUGCCAGGCACCGUGGUUUUCCUCACUGAACUCAAGGAGUCACCCUCCGUGGGGAGGCCGCACUCACAGCUCCAGGCCUGCCGUUUAGCCCUUGGGGCUUGGCUGUAAAGUUGCCCAAGAGGAUUACAGGAGCUGCCAGCCAAGUUUAAUUUGGCCACCUUAGAGGACUGCAGCAAGGUCCUAUCAGCUUCCCAUCAGACAAACAACUGCAUUUCAAUUAAAUGAAGUUUGCACCUCUAGGGAGUGCUGACCUGAAAAUAAGAGCCUUCUGUCUGUGAUUAUAGAGCACACUUGCUUUUAUUAAUUGCUGAUUCUUAGUUUACAAAAAAAAAUUAGAAAAGCAUUACCAUUUACUUUCCAAGGGGCAAGAGAUUCUCUACAAUACCCUUCCCCCAACCCUGUCCUCAAAUUUCCAAAUCCUAAAUACUUUGAAGAAAUUUGUGUGACUGUUUAAAAUUGAGUAUUUCCUUCUAACUAUUGUCUUUUGAAAAGGGAUGGUUCACCAGGCCAGUGAUACUCUCUGGACCGCAUUUUGGGACCUCUGCCCCAGCAAGGAUACAGGUUCCUGGGGGUCUUGAAGAUGGGAAAAGUUGUCUCAGAAUGUACCCAAAUGUCGUUCUCACCAUAAAAGAUAUACUUGUAGAAAUGAGAAGCUUCAAUAUAACGCAAAACACUGGACACAGCAAUAACUAUAAAUAUUUUAAUUUCAAAAACAAAGGUGUGUGCGAUGUUGUGUGCACAGUAAGGGUUGCGGGGCUUGGAGAACAAGCACGCGUCC